rnacentral:rRNA from 1 species
UGGGGAAUAUUGCGCAAUGGGCGGAAGCCUGACGCAGCCACGCCGCGUGUGUGAUGAAGGCUUUCGGGUCGUAAAGCACUGUCGGGAGGGAAGAAGAUCUGACGGUACCUCCCAAGAAAGCACCGGCUAACUCCGUGCCAGCAGCCGCGGUAACACGGAGGGUGCAAGCGUUGCUCGGAAUCACUGGGCGUAAAGCGUACGCAGGCGGCCUAUUAAGUCGGGUGUGAAAGCCCGGAGCUCAACUCCGGAACUGCGCCCGAUACUGGUAGGCUUGAAUACGGGAGAGGGAAGCGGAAUUCCUGGUGUAGAGGUGAAAUUCGUAGAUAUCAGGAGGAACACCAGUGGCGAAAGCGGCUUCCUGGCCCGAUAUUGACGCUCAUGUACGAAAGCGUGGGUAGCAAACAGGAUUAGAUACCCCCGUAGUCC